rnacentral:lncRNA from 1 species
AGUGUAUUACCCAUGAGAGUUGAAUGUAUGCAAAUCCGAGCAGUUCCACUCCUGAGGACACAGACAGACAACACCUAUUUUUAGCGAUGUUGUUUGUAACAGUCCCACACUGCAAAGACAAAAUGCCCUUCAAGAGUGGAAUGGGUAAAUAUAUUGUGUUGUGGUUGCAAUGAACACUAUACACCAAUGAACAGGAGCAAACUGUGGCUUCCUUCAACAACAUGAAUGGAGCUCACAAAUACAAUAUGAGUGCAAGAAGCUUGACAGAAAAGGAUACAUCCUGUAGAGUUCCACUUAUAUGAGCUUCAGAAAUAGGCAACGCUAAUAUACGGUGAAUGGAUAUUCACCUGGGCCAGAGUGGGGGUGACUAGGAGGGUCCUGGUGUCAUUCUGUUUCUUGAUUGUGACUCUGGUAUGCCAACUCUGCUCACUGGGCAGCAAGAUGUGUGAUGUCUACACUCUGCUGUAUGUCAAGAAUAUUUUGAAAAGCCUUCCGAUGGCUCGUGGACUAUGGAAGGGGGAGAGCUGGUGUGUCUUCCAGGGCAGAAUUGGCUGGCAGGGGAGUCUGCAGAAUGCUGUCUUCAGGCAGUGAGGAGGUGUAGCAGGUGAGUGUUAGCUUUGAGGUGGUGAUUCUGUGUGGCCCAGACUCAGGGUCGCCCCACACAAGCCUUCCUUGUCCUCCCUGACCAGAGCAGACCACGCUGUGCUCCCUCUCAGGACUUUCUGGACCUAAACCCUCAUAGAUCUUCCUGCACUUUCUUUUUGUGCAUUAUGUUUAUAUGUACACACAUGUGUGUGGAUAAGUAUGCACUACACAUUUAUAUCAAUUUCUGUUUUCCCUGCUAGAAGUUUCUAGAAGGCAAGGCCUGUGUAGGUUUUGCUCUGCAGUGUCAGCAGCACCUACACAUAGUAGGUGCUCACAAAUUUUUAUGGAAUGUAUGCAGAACUUCAGGUGUCUACCUGACUUCACCUGACUUCACCAGAACAGAAGCUCAUCCUCAGACGUCCUUCAGCUCCCAUGGAACCACACUCAGCACACACUCAGUUCUGACAAAUACAGGUGUUUGAAGGGAUGCGUGCAUGGCUCAGUGGUUGAGUGU